GAAUACGCUAGCAAUUCUAAAUAGAAACUGCGCUGGAAAACUCUUCAAGAGAUCUGUGGCGGGAAACAAUUUGAACAGCAAUUUAAACGCUACAGGGUGAUUUCAAAUUUAUUAAGUAACAGUCGAUACCUUGCGAGACCUCUUCAAUCAGAAACGGUCGUACGGAUUUGAUGAAAUUCCGCACACUGAUCGCCUAAAACUGAGACCAAAUUUUUGAAUAUUCUCUACAUUUUUCAAGGGGGUACCACCUGUUUGCAAAGUAAGUUUCCAAUUAAUUCAUAAUUUAAUUGUUUAAAAAUUAAAUUAAAU